AAGGGAGACCUAAUUCGGGUAUAAGACGAAAAAAAAGUAGUCCCAACCAAGAAUCAAUCCCAAAAGGUCGGAGCGAGGCGAAAUUGGCUUUCAAACUAGGUUCUGGGUUCAUAAAAGACCUGAAUCAGGAACAAGGGCUAUUAGCUCAGGUGGUUAGAGCGCACCCCUGAUAAGGGUGAGGUCCCUGGUUCGAGUCCAGGAUGGCCCACCUGCACAGGUGGCAAAAACAAGAGAAGCUCCGAAUCAGCACCUUAUCUUACUUACAUAGUAAGAGAGAAUGCUGGCUCUGAGUAAAGAGUCCAGAGGAACCUUGAAAACUGCAUAGAGCUAGGUGAAAAAGCCAAAAAAGAAGACCGCAA
rnacentral:tRNA from 1 species